GGUGGCAUGGCUCAGUCGGUAGAGCACAUCGUUCACAUCGAUGGGGUCGUUGGUUCGAGUCCAACUGUCACCACCA
rnacentral:tRNA from 5 species